GGCAAAUUUUGUUAGACUGAUCAGCCUCUAAACAUUAAGAUGCAAUGUUUAUUUUCAGUGAUGUAUAUACAUGUUACACAUCUUACCAUGUAAGAUUUUAAAAUAGGUUUACGUAACACAUACACACACAGUAUAAACCUCCAUCUUUUGACUUUUUGCCAGCCUGGCUUGAGGAUGAGCAAGCAGGAAGGAUUAGGCAUAAGUUAAAGUCUGCCAACUCUAAUAGUACCUAAUUAGCACAACAAAAGAAAGUGCCUCAGUCGUUCAGCAGUGGGCAAUGCAUCUCAUUAAACACAACUGAACAACAAUUAUUUGGUCCCCUUGUGAAUAGUUUUGGCACAGCUACCAGAGAGAGAGAGAGAGCUGGAACUAGAGUGUCUGCUUUCUUGGCCCAGUGCUCAAGCUUCAGGGUAAAUAGCCUGUUUCUAUUACUGUGCACCUGCAUCUGACUGCUUCAUUUUGAUUUGGUCUCCUGCUGUGAAAAUGUAGCUUCUUCAAGCACAUACAAGCCUUGCCAUGCACUUCACAUGAAAAUUAUAUUCAGAGAUGUCAGCGGUGACCUAAAAACGACAACUAGUCCUCAAAAUAACUGCUUCCUUUUAAAUUCUAUACAGAGAAAAUGGUUGCCUGCGAAAAUACAAAAAACCCAAUUGGCAGAUGGAAGGAGGUCUUUUCCUGAUAAGAUACCAAAGGGAGUGCUGCUGGGAAAAGAGUCAUCACCAUUAAUCUGAAAAGCUAGAAGUAUGAUGCAGUGUGAAGAAAAUAUAUAUUAUCUCGGGACACAAAGGUGCUCAAAAAAGCUACACAUAUAUAGGAUAUACUCAGAUGCCUGAAUAACAGCUCUGAAAUGUGGCUAAUUAUUUUCUGUUAAAAUUGUUGUUACAUGGCAUUUCUGCAACUAACAGAUAUUUUGAAGACUGCAUAAGCUUCUAGAAAAAAUGAUUAUGGCAUGAUACAAACUAAUUUAUUUAGACACCCGAGGAAUCGGAGUUGUACUUGAUCUAUUUAUUGCAUUGAUUUUUAAAAUUUCUCUGCUGGUGUUCACAGAGCAAAACAUGUACAUGUCUGCAGGAGUGUGUAGAUUAACAUCUUUGGGGUAUUUUAUAUGGAAGAGGAGAAUAUUGUCCUGGGGCAAUGGUACUCUGUCCUAUGCUAAUAUGGACAGAUUCAAAAUAGAUAGCCUCUUGAUUGAGAGAACUAAAAUAAAUAAAUAAAACAAGAUUGUAGAUUUUAGUUUUCUUUGUAGUCACUACAGGAGUAAUUGCUCAAAUCUUAUUAUUAUUAUAAUAAGUUCUUAGCCUCUCUGUUUUAUAAUACACUUCAUUUAUAAAUGAUGUAAUAGGUUAAAAAACUGCAGAAAUAAGAUCAGGUUAUCUAAGGAUGUCUGUAGGAGAGCUUCUGUUUAUUCAACGUCUGACACCUUAGUAUCAGAAAUAAAUGUACGAGGCUGGUAACAACACAGUAAACAAAAUGUUUUAAAGUAAAACCAAAAAAUACCCAUUUCACUGUGAAAUGUGGCACCUGCUUCUUAAACAAAAGGCUGGGAGAAUGAGAUGGAUGGCCACAGCUGAAAGAGUCUUCCUAUUCUGUCAUCUGAUCUGCCUCUUCCUUUGUCCCUUACUUGAUGGAUAGUGAUGUAAUUAAGGACUGAUUCCACUCCUGCCAUGUUUUAAAUAUUUUUCAGCGGGACAGCCAGUAGUUCUGACCCAGGCAGGGCCAAGGGCUCUAGUGGGGUUAAACAGCUGUAAGCGAGGAGGGGCAGUGGGCUCCGUCCAGGGA